CACAUUGCUGAACUGCAAGUCACGUGCCAGAUCCAGAAAUGAUGAAAACAUCUGUUUUUGCUUUAGCCCAGCGAGGCCCCGACAGUGGGGAGGGGAGGGACCGGACCGAGAUCGCUUUGCUCACGAGCGCCAUCUGCCGAGCCUGCGCGGGAAAUGCGUGAAUAUCCGGCACAAUGCAGGUUACUCACCCCCAGGAAGGGACAGAUCCACAGGUGGGGGUCUGUACCCGAGAGACCACUAUCUUCAGAGAACAGCCCUGGCUGUGACCCGGGAACUUUGCAACUCUGAAUUGUCUCGAAGAGUACUCAACAAAGAGAUCUGUCCCUGGAGACUGCUCUAGGCAGAGGAAGAGGCCGAGGGAGGCAGCGAAUGAAUUCCCAGGUCUUUGUUUGGAUGCACAGUGGAGGGGUUAUGAAACUUUUUAUACUGUGUUGUCAUCUCAGAACUCAGAUUUAGGGCGUUUUUUAAUCAGAAAAACAAAGAUCUCUGAAGUGGGUUGCAAUAAUAAGAAAGAAAAAGGAGAAGAGGAAGACGAGGCUGAGGAGCCGCAGCAAUGUGGGUCAAAAAUAAACAUGGGUGACAGUGCUCCCGUCCAUGUGCAGUGUCAUUCCUCCCAAAUAUUUUUUUAGCCAAGACUCUCUUGUCCUCACAUAAAAAUCAUUUGUCCCCCACUUUUCUCUAUCUAUCUUGGUGUAACGAUCUCCACACAGAGACAAAUAACCUUUGUUCAAAGCUCUGUUCUUCUAAGCUGGGCAGAAUUCUGCAAGAUCACUCUGCACACACAAGCUUAACACCUCCCUUGCAGCUCCAAACAAACCAUAAUCCAAAAGCCGCUCUUUUAAAUAGAGGUUUCUUUUAUGCUUAAAUUCCUAAAUAAAAGGAAUGUCGACCGCUACUGCUAGUUUUUCCAGUUAAAUCCGAUUUUUGCUGAAAUGCCGCUUGCUCAAAAUUCUGGGUGUGAACUGCAGGCUGGGCUCCUGGAACUGGAAUUCUCGAGCUAUCUGGAGGGCCCUCCAGUGGCCAAAAUAAUAUCUGCCAUAAACAAAGGGCACCAAAGCCAGGACUGCAACAAAGACAGAAGGGUGGUCCCUAGCCUGUUCGGAAAAUCCUGCAGAGUAUGAUUCCCACAUUUUGCUCCAUGGAGGUGUGUCUACAUAAACGAAGCUAAGACAGAAUCUCAACUGGAAGGAUGAUGACGUUAUUUGCAUGACAAAAGAAUCCUUCACGAGAUAAAAGAGAGGCAGGUUUGAACUCCUUUAAAUGAUAACUCCCCCUAUUUUUUUUAAAAAAGAUUCUAUUGAACUGGGAGGGGGGUGACAUGCAAAUUUCUAGAACAUCUGUGAAACAUAACAGGGUGCACUUAAGCUUGCUCUACUUGACCCCCCACUGAUGUUUCUUUCUACCUGUGAAAGCCUCCUAAGUACUAUGACCUUGAGACUCAGAAGUAAGUGGUCCUUGGAGGUGAUAUAAGAAGAAAAGCGGCAAGUUGAAGAUCUGAGCCUAGAAAGCCUUUCUAGAGGACUUUGGAAAAAACAGAUGGUUCCCCUGGACCUGACAGACUUCCGGUUUUUCAAAAAGUUCUAGAUCUGUUACAAAUUAGCACACGAUGUCCACGGGCAUGCCUCAGUUUCUCCUGGUAGACAACACAAGCCAGGCAUAGAUUUCUAGGGACUGUGCCUCCCUACUCACUGUAAUAACCUUUGCUACCUGGAAGCAUAGUAGAAAGAGAGGGGAGGAAGAAUUCUUCCCACAAAGUCCCUUAAAGCCCUGAUUCAUUGUGAAUCCCUCACCUUUCCAUGUUUACAUGUGUGACUAGCAGCCAUGCCAAACCUCCAUGCCCACUCCCGAUCAACACACACACACACACACACACACACACACACACACACACACACACACACAGGGACACUCUGGCCUGCUGGAUGCUGGGAGAUGCAGAGAUGAGGCAGGGAUGGAGAGAAUAGCGCUUACCCUCCUCAGUCUGCUCCAUCAGGCACUGCUGUCAAAUGUCUUUUGUGCUAUCAUGGUCUGUGUCCCCACCAAUGUAUAUAUUGAGAUCAUGCUCCCACAAAGUAAUAGUGUUGGGAGAUGGGGGUCUUUGGGUCAUGAGAUCAGGAUAGGAUGAGUUCACUCAUAAAAAGCUGUGUCAGAGAGCUGCCUUCCCCUUUCUCCAUUCAAGGAAAGAGCAAGAAAGCUAUAAAGGAAGGAGAGGCCCUUGCCAGACAGACAAAAUCUCCAGAGCCUCUGUCUUGAACUUCCAGCCCUGAUUCAGCUGAAGCAGGGAGCCAAUGUCUGUCUGGAAACUGAACAAGAGCUGGUCCAAGUCCAUCAAGCUCUAGAGAAAGGACAUGCAUGAAGAUGAAGUGCUCUAUGGCAGAUGGGUGUAUGGCAGCAGGACCACAAAAUUCUCAGGUGGCAAAGGGCCAGAGACGAGGAUCAAGACAACAACCUGCUCUCUAAGCACACCCACUCUCCUUUGCCACUGCCACCAGACACUCUCCAGUCUUCCUAGACUAGCAUGGCCUUCUUUUGUCCUGUUUUGGGCAUAUUAUCUGAUUUCUCUGUCUUUCAAAUGUUUGUGUGUUUGUGUGUGCAUGUCAGGCUGGGGAAGCUGAAGUUACUUCUUUCCCAUUUUUCUGUGUUCAAAAUAGUCUUCAUGCAUAUUGUAUCCUGAAAAUCAGGGACACCUACAGCUUCCUCCUCUAUGGGAAUAAAGUAUGUCUCACACAGGGCUACAGGGGACUGAAGUAAAACAAUUGUGGGUGACACUCAUGGUUCUAGCAUGUGAGAUACAUUGUCUAGUGUAUUUCAUGGUCUGCUGGCACCUUCACAAUAGCCAGUGAGUUGGAUGCUAAGCCAUCUGUAUCGUCAGGGAGGAAACCAUAGUGGGUAAGAUGUUAAGGUGCGAAGCAUCACAAGACUCCUGAGUCAGGAUUCUGCCCCAGAGCCCAGACUCCAAACAUGUGAUUCAAAGGUGACCGUGGAGAAGCAUGCCAGGCACACACCUGAGCUCAUACACCUCAUUCUCGAGCUUGCUCUGGUAGUGAGCAAAUUCAGAUCCUCUUUUCUCUGUGCCCUGAGCACUGGGGUGCUCCUGAUUUCCACUCACCACUUUGAUGUCUCCAAAGCAGCAAGUCCUAAGGCCGCCUCGCUUCAGAAGACUCUCCAAACACACAUUACUUUGAGAUCUCUGCCAUUCUGAAAUCUGUCUCCAGAUGGUGUGACUGCUGCCCCUCUCCCGGUAACUCUGCAGACACUUCUAGUACACAACUCCAGGCUGGCAAGUUUUGAACUCCACGUACAUUCAGCCAUUUCUUAUAUUUAUUAAAUUGUUUGAUCAGCCUGAGGCUAUGCCUCCUUAUGACCAGGAUUUUGUUUGGUUUGAAGAAUGAAGCAUCUUCAACACCUGGAGAGUACCCAGUCAAAGUUUGCUAAGUGAAACAAGCCAGCUUUUACAUGGUCCCUUCUUCCCAGUUCAUGUAUGAAGAGUAUUCUCAGAUGAGUUUGGAAUGCCUUUUAAAGAAGAGCAAGCCCCCAGAAGUCUACCAGCUCCUAUUCAAGCCAUGUGAAGACAGGAAACAGCUGCCUGUACCAGUAUUUCCAGAACUAUGUCAAAGAAGAGGCAGGAGAAAAAAAAGUCCUACUAUAGGGUUCAGAGAAAGAAGCAAAAAGCAAUUUGAUAAUUUUUAUUUUAGAGCCUGUGUUGCUUGGGAGCUGUAGACUUCCAGGCGUGAAGACUAAGGGACAUACCAUAAAUCCUUAGGGAGGGAGGCAGAGGUCUAGGGUAUAAAUCCAGUAGUAGAGUGCUACCUUAGCAUGCACAAGACUCUGUGUUCAAUCCCUAGGACCAAAAGGUGGGGAAGGGCUGAGCAAUCCUGGGAAAUAACCUUAAAAGGUUGGCUACUCUUUGUAUACUCUAUAAAUCAAGAUGAUUGUCUAGUUUUGUACAUUUUGCUGAGGUUAUUAAAUUAGCUUUCCAUUCCUGAGCACAAUAUAUAGGAUUGUAUUGGGGCACUGGGGCCCUUGAACUUAGCCCUCUUUCCUGUUGAGAAAGACCCCAUACAAUAAAAUGGCUGAUGGGAAAAGGCAUCAAGGUUUGGGUUAAACAGCCAACAACACGCUCUUCUACCCUGAGACAGAAGUGGAGCCUGUGCCUUCAUCAGGGCAUCAUACCACCUCACUCCACAGACUCAGGAAGCACAAGCACAGUCUGGACUUAAGGGCUUUAGGAUGCAUUUUAUGCAUUCACUCAUUAGCUGAGUGCUUAAAAUCUUUAAUUUCCAUUUCCUCAUGAAGGCUCUGAGGAUUUCAGUUGUCCCAGGAAGCAGGGAUCAUGUCAGCGUUGUUCACUUUAUACUCUUAGUGGCUGAGAGGGUACUGGAUAGAGAAGAGGGCUCCUAAGUUCUUAGGUGAAUGUUGCCAUGGGAUCCAUGACCGGCGGACUCCACCAUCCAAGGAGCUUAAUAUCUUGCCAAUUAGAGACUUGACCUUCAUCUUCCAUUCCCCCAGUGGCUAUCCCAAUCACUGGAUUUUCCCUCCACUUGCUUAAUGUUAGAAACUGUACACCUAUAAGAGAUUCGGCAUCUGCUCCAGUGGAUUCCACACUCUAUUCCCUCUAGCUCUGGCAAAAGCUCUGCAUCAUACUGUAAUACUUGGGAAAACCAUUUGAUAGUCCCUGUGCAGUUGAAGUGGAGAGCAUAUUCACUAGCCAGCACUAAGUCCCCACCAAGCUCCUCCCAACUUCUCAUCCCAUCCCAUCACAUAGACCCAUGGAGAAGGAAGCUCCCCCAGCUGCUAGUAACUUUUAGGCAGCUCCCUUCUUUUCUCUAGAGCUGUGAAACAAUGAUGGCUGGGGAGUCAGGAUCCCUUCUACUAAAUAGUGAAUAGACCACCACACUUGUGAUCUACCCUACCUGUGUGCCCACAUUGUCCGUACUCCCUUAUGCCUGCCAUGUUCUCCAUUCCCUUUGAUGAGAGGCGUUCAUAGCUGACCCUCCUAUCUCCUGGGAAAUGAAACGAAAGCUUGGGGAGAUAGAAAGGAGGGGACUAAAAAUUCCUCCUGUGAGCCCUCAGAGUGGAUUAAGACUCUAAGACCUUGACUAUAGGGGUCAUGUGGAAUGGCUCUAUAGUAAAGAACAACAUGUCAUCUGGACACAGGCUUCCUGGCCCCUACCUCAAUUCUAUUUCUUCUGCUUACUUGAUGUGGCCAUAGGCAAAUGUCUUUGCCAUCCCUUGCUUCAAAGUUCUUCUCCUGACAAUGUCGAUACCCUCUGUAGAAGGUUGUGAAAAUUAAAUGACUUUAAAUAAGCCACUCUCAGAAGAAUGUCAGGCCCAAAGCAAUUACAUAUUUAAUAAUAUUUCUCACUGUAGCAGCAUUGCCAUUGAUCAAAAUAUUUCUAGCCUGUGUUAGAAGAGUAUGCUUUUCAGUCUUAAACAUAUCUUGCCAACUAUCCAUGAACAUCCAUGAAACCAGUUUCCUCCAUUGUUCUAGUUCUUGGGAGCAGGUAAGCAGUUUAGGCCUUCAGUGCACUUCUGAAGCCAACAGCAUGGUGUUGUGUUUAUUUACUGUCCAUGAAAAACACACAUGUUCACACACAUCCAGACAGCUCUGCCACAACCAGGGCCGAUUCAUCCCGGGGUCACUAAUUGGCUCUGCCUCAACCAGAAAGAGACUGAAGUCUUAAUUAUGAAUCCUCUUCCUUUGAUCAGCCCUGAAGGUUUUAAGGAACUGAGUAUGACCAAAGGGCAAAUUUCAGAAAAGUCUGAUUUACAUUUAAAUCCAAGUUCUUUGUUUUCCCCCUCGUCUCCACAAAGUUUGC
ensembl:lncRNA